UACGUAGGUGGCAAGCGUUGUCCGGAUUUACUGGGCGUAAAGGGCAGGCAGGCGGAUCGUUAAGUAGAAAGUGAAAGGUCGGGGCUCAACCCCAACAUUGCUUUCUAUACUGGCGGUCUUGAGUCCCGGAGGGGAGAGCGGAACGACACGUGUAGCGGUGAAAUGCGUUGAUAUGUGUCGGAACACCAAUGGCGAAGGCAGCUCUCUGGACGGGUACUGACGCUCAUCUGCGAAAGCCGAGGUAGCGAACAGG
rnacentral:rRNA from 1 species